CGUUCGCUCCUUUUAUUUAAUUCUUUUAUUCAAUUUAUUCGAGCCAUUUGAUAAUAAAUUUAUAUUCUAAAGUUUCACAAAGUGAUCGUUGUCACUGGGUUACAAUAAUUUUUUAAAAAUAAUUACUAUUUAUAACCUAAAAUAUGUCAUUUAUAUUCGGGUAGCUCGGUGCUGGCCAAUGACUAUUUUAUUAUAUUAUCAUCGGAUCUGGAGAGCUGAAAUAAUUUGAAAAUGUUGGCUGGAAAUGAAGAUGCAUGAAUCCGAUGAUUGAGAAAAAUUUGCUGGGCAAAAAAAAGAUGGCCGUUCGGAAGAAAAAUUUGAAACUCUUAAGAUUUGUACGGCAGCGCCAUAGUUUGAGAAGCCACCGUUGGCGUCGUGCGCAAGCGUCCGUUCAAACAGGCAGGCACCCGGCAAUUCUCACAACUGUCAUGGCUGCCGCUCAGCAAACAUUUGUCGGCACUGGGGCCAUCGAUUCAUAUCGAUCUUUUUGAGAUCUAGACAAAAGAUUGUAAUGAUCUAGCUUCAAAUACUGAAAAGAAAAAUGAUGAUCAAGAAAAUAAGUGGCAGCCAAAGAAGUAAUGAUAAUUGUGUAAACCAUCAUGUCUUGGUAAGCUUUUAUCAUUUAAUUAUUUUUCAAUACUUAACAUCAAGCUAAAUAGUACAAUCUAUUAUUUACUGAUAAUUUUGUGUCCAUUGUUUCAGUAGUUCUCUACAU